AGAGUUUGAUCAUGGCUCAGAUUGAACGCUGGCGGCAUGCCUUACACAUGCAAGUCGAACGGCAGCACGAGAGCUUGCUCUUGGUGGCGAGUGGCGAACGGGUGAGUAAUAUAUCGGAACGUACCCUAGAGUGGGGGAUAACGUAGCGAAAGUUACGCUAAUACCGCAUACGAUCUACGGAUGAAAGUGGGGGAUCGCAAGACCUCAUGCUCAUGGAGCGGCCGAUAUCUGAUUAGCUAGUUGGUGGGGUAAAAGCUCACCAAGGCGACGAUCAGUAGCUGGUCUGAGAGGACGACCAGCCACACUGGAACUGAGACACGGUCCAGACUCCUACGGGAGGCAGCAGUGGGGAAUUUUGGACAAUGGGCGCAAGCCUGAUCCAGCAAUGCCGCGUGAGUGAAGAAGGCCUUCGGGUUGUAAAGCUCUUUUGUCAGGGAAGAAACGGUGGACUCUAAUACAGAUCACUAAUGACGGUACCUGAAGAAUAAGCACCGGCUAACUACGUGCCAGCAGCCGCGGUAAUACGUAGGGUGCAAGCGUUAAUCGGAAUUACUGGGCGUAAAGCGUGCGCAGGCGGUUGUGCAAGACAGAUGUGAAAUCCCCGGGCUCAACCUGGGAAUUGCAUUUGUGACUGCACGGCUAGAGUGUGUCAGAGGGGGGUAGAAUUCCACGUGUAGCAGUGAAAUGCGUAGAGAUGUGGAGGAAUACCGAUGGCGAAGGCAGCCCCCUGGGAUAACACUGACGCUCAUGCACGAAAGCGUGGGGAGCAAACAGGAUUAGAUACCCUGGUAGUCCACGCCCUAAACGAUGUCUACUAGUUGUCGGGUCUUAAUUGACUUGGUAACGCAGCUAACGCGUGAAGUAGACCGCCUGGGGAGUACGGUCGCAAGAUUAAAACUCAAAGGAAUUGACGGGGACCCGCACAAGCGGUGGAUGAUGUGGAUUAAUUCGAUGCAACGCGAAAAACCUUACCUACCCUUGACAUGUCUGGAAUCCUUGAGAGAUCAGGGAGUGCUCGAAAGAGAAUCAGAACACAGGUGCUGCAUGGCUGUCGUCAGCUCGUGUCGUGAGAUGUUGGGUUAAGUCCCGCAACGAGCGCAACCCUUGUCAUUAGUUGCUACGAAAGGGCACUCUAAUGAGACUGCCGGUGACAAACCGGAGGAAGGUGGGGAUGACGUCGAGUCCUCAUGGCCCUUAUGGGUAGGGCUUCACACGUCAUACAAUGGUACAUACAGAGGGCCGCCAACCCGCGAGGGGGAGCUAAUCCCAGAAAGUGUAUCGUAGUCCGGAUUGUAGUCUGCAACUCGACUACAUGAAGUUGGAAUCGCUAGUAAUCGCGGAUCAGCAUGUCGCGGUGAAUACGUUCCCGGGUCUUGUACACACCGCCCGUCACACCAUGGGAGCGGGUUUCACCAGAAGUGGGUAGCCUAACCGCAAGGAGGGCGCUCACCACGGUGGGAUUCGUGACUGGGGUGAAGUCGUAACAAGGUA
rnacentral:rRNA from 1 species